rnacentral:rRNA from 1 species
GACGAACGCUGGCGGCGUGCUUAACACAUGCAAGUCGAACGGAAAGGCCCUGCUUUUGUGGGGUGCUCGAGUGGCGAACGGGUGAGUAACACGUGAGUAACCUGCCCUUGACUUUGGGAUAACUUCAGGAAACUGGGGCUAAUACCGGAUAGGAGCUCCUGCUGCAUGGUGGGGGUUGGAAAGUUUCGGCGGUUGGGGAUGGACUCGCGGCUUAUCAGCUUGUUGGUGGGGUAGUGGCUUACCAAGGCUUUGACGGGUAGCCGGCCUGAGAGGGUAACCGGCCACAUUGGGACUGAGAUACGGCCCAGACUCCUACGGGAGGCAGCAGUGGGGAAUAUUGCACAAUGGGCGGAAGCCUGAUGCAGCAAUGCCGCGUGCGGGAUGACGGCCUUCGGGUUGUAAACCGCUUUCGCCUGUGACGAAGCGUGAGUGACGGUAAUGGGUAAAGAAGCACCGGCUAACUACGUG